GGUAUCCUUCUGGCAAGGGUACUGUACUAAACUAACUAAAGUGGGGGAUAGUGAGGGGAUAAAUUUUCUUAAGGAACUCGGCAAAAUCCCAAUGGCCCACCAGGGCAUAUUGGAACACGGGCCUCGACUGUUUACCAAAAACAUAGCCCUCGGCUAAUAUGAAAAUAGAUGUAUAGAGGGUGAUGCCUGCCCAAUGGUUGUAUCUAAAAGCGGUUGAUAAAAGUUGACCUCGUAAGGACAAUUGAAUGGCCGCGGUAACACUGACCGUGAUAAUGUAGCGUAAUCAAUAGCCAAUUAAUUGUUGGCCAGUAUGAAUGGCGCCACGAAGGCCCCACUGUCUUAAGGAAAUUCCCAGUGAAAUUGAAUUCGUAGUGAAGAUGCUACGUCCAAUUUGUUAGACGAAAAGACCCCGUUGAGCUUUACUGGAGCACUUACAUGGCCCCGGCCUUCCCAUGCCUGGGAACCGGCCGAAUUUAAAUGGGCGGCUUAGAUUAUGUGGCAGCCCCCCGCUGGGGCAAAUGAAACACCACUCCCCCAUGUCAAAGGGGCUAACCCCCCCCCCUUGGGGGGACAGUGUAAGUAGGACAGUUUGGUUGGGGCGACCACCUUUUAAAAAGUAACGAAGGUGCGCUUAAGGUGCGCAAUUAAUGACUGAAGCCUGACUGCGAGGGGGACACCCCGAGCAGACACCCCAAAGCCCGCCCGAAAGGCGGCGGUGGGGUGGGCCAUAGUGACCCGUUAAUUUAGAGUGGAAUAGUUAACGAUCAACGAAUAAAAGUUACCACGGGGAUAACAGCGUAAUAUCGUUAGAGAG
rnacentral:rRNA from 1 species